UUCACUUUUAGUUCUUCAUGAUAAAAUUAUUUGAGAGCCAGGUACUGUCGCUGAGUUUGAAAUAUAUAAUGAAAUAUGUUGAAAUACUUUUUUGUAUCUAACCAGAUUUUUUUUUUUUUUUUUUUUUUGCUGUAGGGCUUUAAUGCUUGUAUGCAGCUUACAGUUACUAUUGCUAUUACAGACACACUAAGACAAAGGCUUAAAAUGUUUUCCUUCUGUCUGGCUAUUGAUGGCAUCCAGUCCUGAUUCUUAUUGGGAACUCACUGUAGUUUGUAAGAUAGCUGGUAAAUUUAUGAUAAAAUGCUGUGGUUUUUUGUUUGUUUGUUUUUUUCCAGUUUUGUUUUGUAGCUUCUCCUCCUCAAAUGUGAGUGGAGCACUGUCAACAUCAGAGAAGUUUUUUGUCCUGGGCAGUUUCAGUAGGUGCCGAAAGAAGUCUCAGUAACUGCUGGGCUUUGGGCUGUGAGGGGUCAGCUGCAAGUCUUUAAGUAAUGAUUUUUAGUAGGCCAGUACUUUUUGUUCUCUGUUUAUGACUAAUACCUGUUUUCAGAUUUAGCCUGGAGAGCUGCAAUAGAGUUGUGCCACUUCUGUAACGUUUUUUGUUAUUCCUUCAUAGGAUUUAAUGUGUCUUUGUGGGCUUCACUGUAUAGUGAAGGCUUAAAGCAUGGGUUUUGUGGAGAGCAGGAGACCAGAAAGUCAAGGAAAAGCAGAGGCUUAGGGAGAAAGUUGGAUGCAAUUACUCAAAAGGUUGAGAUUUAUAAAUAUAUAAAUAUGAGUAUGGGUGUGGUAAACUAUUGUACUGUAUAAGUGGCUGUAACUAUGGUAACAUGGGAAAAUGAGAAGUGGAAUCACAUAGCUGAUGAUAUUGCUCUUUAACUUGGAAAUCAACAUCAGUGUUUUGCUGGCUGUUAAAUCCAGUUUCAUCAACAGCUGGUGGAAAAGGGUCAGGCUUUUGCUGGAGGUGGACAGCAAAGGGAAAAAAACAAGUUCUUUGAAGGAAAGUAUUGAAAGGUGCUUUGGGCUGGGGGAGAACUCACAUUGCUGUUGGUUGCUCAGAGAGGUGGAAAAUCUACCGAUUUUCCAGGAGGGCUUCACAAAUUGACUUUGGGCAAGUGUACAAGGCAGCCUCCCUUGCAGUGGAGAGCUGAGCCAGAGGGAACUGAGAGGGCCCUUUCAGCCUAAGUUAUUCUUGCUGCAGUCAUUCUGGCAUUUUGUCCUCUUACUAGAGACGUUGUCCAUAAAUACUAAAAGGCAUGAGUAGUCCAACCUGAAUAUCUGGUGUUCAGGAUGGCUGGCUUUUCAUUUGUACGAUUGUACUGUUUCAUUAUCCUGCAGGUACUUAUAUCUAAAACAUCCAUGCUGUGCUGAAAGUUGGACUUGCUGUGGAAGAUAAUGACUGCUAUUUCACUGGAUUAUUCUUAAUUUUGCUGUUAGUACAUUUCUGGCCCUGAAAUUGCUCAGCCUGUAAAGAUUUCCAUUUUCAGCAUAAGGUGAUUAUGUGAUGAUACUAGAGUGUGAGGUGGAAGUGAUUCCUCUACUCCAGAGGAAAAUGCAGCCUUGGAUAAUUUGGUUAGUAAAGUUAUCUCUUGGUUACUACAACACCCCACGAUACUGAAUGUAACAUCAUUAUAGAUUCAACAAGCAAAAACAAAGGAACAACAAAAACUCAUCUCCACAGAAUGAAAUAUCUUCAUAAACCUAAGGGUAAAAUUAUUAUAGAUGCUUUAUGGUGCCAAGAGACUUGACAGUAAGAACUGUAACCUGAGUUUGCAAGCUGAAGAGCAUAUCUACCCAUAAGAGAAGAUCAAGGAGAUUUCAAUCAUAGUGGAGCCUACCAUACUGUCUUGGAAGUUAUUAACAUCUUGAAUUUCUUAACAUCCACGUGUCUUUCAAGCUUCAAUUUCAUUGUGGAGUAUGUGUGCAUGCGUAAUUAUGUAUUUUGUGUUUAUCAGCCCCAUCAAACUGUCAACAAUUUAAAAAUAAAAAUCUG
rnacentral:lncRNA from 1 species